rnacentral:rRNA from 1 species
CAGUGCUGCAUGGCUGUCGUCAGCUCGUGUCGUGAGAUGUUCGGUUAAGUCCGCUAACGAGCGCAACCCUCGCUGUGUGUUAUAUGUGUCACACGGGACUGCCGGUCUUAAGCCGGAGGAAGGUGGGGAUGAUGUCAAGUCAGCAUGGCCUUUAUAUCCUGGGCUACACACACGCUACAAUGGCCAACACAAUAGGUUGCUAAGCCGCGAGGUGGCGCCAAUCCAUAAAGUUGGUCUCAGUUCAGAUUGUAGGCUGCAACCCGCCUGCAUGAAGAUGGAGUUGCUAGUAACCGCAGGUCAGCUAUACUGCGGUGAAUACGUUCCCGGGGCUU